GGGUUCAUCUUUUUUAUUCUGCUGAGUUGCCACUACAUGCUGCUAGGCAUUACUGAUGGAUCGUGAGAACUCACUAAGAUCACUUCAGAUCAACGAUCUUUGUUAAGGUGAGUUGGAAUCGUUUCAGCCCAUCGAAAAGAGUUUCGAUGAUACUGUGAUGGAGAUCACGGUACGUCUCACUACCAAACAGAAUAAAACCUAAGAGGUUAUACAUAAAAAGACCAUGAUCUGAUC
rnacentral:lncRNA from 1 species